UACGUAGGGUGCAAUCGUUGUCCGGAAUUAUUGGGCGUAAAGAGCUCGUAGGCGGUUUGUCGCGUCGGCCGUGAAAUCUCCACGCUUAACGUGGAGCGUGCGGUCGAUACGGGCAAACUGGAGUGUUGCAGGGGAGACUGGAAUUCCUGGUGUAGCGGUGAAAUGCGCAGAUAUCAGGAGGAACACCGGUGGCGAAGGCGGGUCUCUGGGCAACACUGACGCUGAGGAGCGAAAGCGUGGGGGAGCGAACAGG
rnacentral:rRNA from 1 species